AGAUUGAACGCUGGCGGCAUGCCUAACACAUGCAAGUCGAACGGGAGUAGCAAUACUCUAGUGGCGGACGGGUGAGGAAUACGUAGGAAUUUGCCCUUAAGUGGGGGAUAACCCGGGGAAACCCGGAUUAAUACCGCAUGACCUCGAAAGAGCAAAGUGGGGGAUCGCAAGACCUCACGCUUUUGGAGAAGCCUACGUCGGAUUAGCUAGUUGGUGAGGUAAUGGCUCACCAAGGCGACGAUCCGUAACUGGUCUGAGAGGAUGAUCAGUCACACCGGAACUGAGACACGGUCCGGACUCCUACGGGAGGCAGCAGUGGGGAAUACGUUGGACAAGUGGG
rnacentral:rRNA from 1 species